UACAGAGGGGGCAAGCGUUAUUCGGAAUUAUUGGGCGUAAAGGGCGCGUAGGCGGCUUUGCAAGUGACGGGUGAAAGCCCUCGGCUUAACCGAGGAACUGCCUGUCAGACUGUGAGGCUUGAGACCGGGAGAGGUGAGUGGAAUUCCCAGUGUAGCGGUGAAAUGCGUAGAUAUUGGGAGGAACACCAGUGGCGAAGGCGGUUGCCUGGGGCUUUGCUGACGCUGAGGCGCGAAAGCGUGGGGAGCGAUCCGG
rnacentral:rRNA from 1 species